CAUGGGGUGAUUUCUCUACCUGGGGAAGGUUGGAGCCUUCCUGGAGGGCAGUCUACCCUGAUAUCAGAAAUAUUAAAAAAUUGGAGGAGUUCCCGUCGUGGCACAGUGGUAACGAAUCCGACUGGGAACCAUGAGGUUGCGGGUUCGGUCCCUGCCCUUGCUCAGUGGGUUAAGGAUCUGGCGUUGCCGUGAGCUGGGGUGUAGGUUGCAGACGCGGCUCGGAUCCCGCGUUGCUGUGGCUCUGGCGUAGGCCGGUGGCUAAAGCUCCGAUUCGACCCCUAGCCUGGGAACCGCCACAUGCUGCGGGAGCGGCCCAAGAAAUAGCAAAAAGACGAGAAAAAAAAAAAAUUGGAUUUCCCGUUGCGGCUCAGUGGUUAACAGAUCUGACUAGGAACCAUGAGGUUGCAGGUUCGAUCCAGUGGGUUGGGGAUCCAGCAUUGCUGUGAGCUGUGCUGUAGGUCGCAGACGCGACUCAGAUCCCACGUUGCUGUGGCUCUGGUGUUGGCGGCUGCAGAUCCGAUUUGACCCCUAGCCUGGGAACCUCCAUAUGCUGCAGGAGCAAUCGUGAAAAAAAAAAAAAAAAGCAAAAAAAGAAAUAUUAAAAAUAUUUUUACUUUUGUCCCAAUAAUUCCAUUCCUGAGACUGUAUCCUAGGAACACAAGUCCAGAAUUCAGAUAAAACUCAGUGGAAAAAUGUGUACAUCAGAGGUGUUUAUGUACUGAAAAAGUGGACACAGCCUAAAAGUGGUUGGAUGAAUAAACCGUGGUGUUUUCCCUUUCACGGAAUCCUCUGCUGCCUUUGAAGACAUUCCCACAAAAAUGUGGAACACACUUAUGCUCUCGGGGUCCCAGAGAGCAGACGCAAAACUGUGAAUCAGCCCCCACUGCUCUGAUCACAGGAAAGACGAAAACAGGCAAGGAGAUAUUCACCGCUAUGCUAGGUGGUUGUUAGGGGAGGGGCUGGAAUUGUGUGGGAUUUAAAAAAAAUUAUUUUUACUUUGAUACACUUUCCAAAUUUUAACAGCGUGCUAUAAAAGCUUAUGAUUUGGGGCGUUGUGGCUCAGCAGGAACGAACCGAACUAGUAUCCAUGAGGACUAGGGUUCGAUCUCUGGCCUGGCUCAGUGGGUUAAGGAUCUGGCGUUGCCAUGAGCUGUGGUGUAGGUCACGGAUGUGGCUCAGAUUCCGUUUUGCUGUAGAUGAGGUAUAGGCUGGCAGCUGCAGCUCUGAUUCGACCCCUAGCCUGGGAACCUCCAUAUGCUGCAGGUGUGGCCCUAAAAAGACACAAACAAAAAAUCAAAACAAAAAACAAACUUACGAUUUUAAUGAAACAAAACAUGAGGGGAGGUUUGAUCUCAGAAGGCUUUGCUGGGAAAGUGAACUUGCUGGGGGACAUUGUGCGCCGUUCCUUGAUCUGCAGACAUACCCCCUCUUCAGCCCACCCCACCUGCUGGCUCCCCACUGAGCCCAGAACCUGGGUGCUCUGCUCUCGGCCUCCCUCUGUCUCUUGUUCCUGAUAUGGUCUCUCUCUACACACACACACACACACACACACUCACGCGCCCUGGAGGUACCAUGGCAAGAUCAGCUGAAGAGAUGCCAGCACGCCCUGGGGACACCCACCUGCCUCGGAGCGAGGGUCUGCUUGGCCCCUCCCGGCCCGGCCGUUCUCCCCACCCGUGGAUCUCCAGUGGGGAGCCGGCCCCUCCCGUGGGCAAGAGGGUCUUCCCCGCAGUCCCCUGGCGUCAAGAGCAGCGGCACUGACGCGGGGGGUGUCCCCCCCGGCCUCUGCUGCGGGAGGCUGGCAGUGAUGGGUCAGGCUCAUGACACACGUGAGGAACCCCUAAAUGGCAACACGGACAGGUGUGAGGAAGUAGAUGGGUGACACUGUCGCAUCCUUCCUCCUGGGCCUGCGGACGUGACGAGGCCAGCUGGCCCCUGGGGCUCAGGGUUGGCCCUCAGCCGUCACACGGCCAAUACCGAGUGGUGUGAAGCCCUGUUGCAGGCCUUGAACCCCCUUCCCUGGCUUCCGUAGCUGGGUCAACAAGCUGAUGGCCUUCUGGUGGCGGGAAGGACCCUUACUGACCAUGUCGGUGUCCAGCGCUGCCAGAGCAAAUAACUACAGACUGGGGCUCUUGAGACCACAGGGGGUGACCCUUGCAGCUCAGGGGGCUGGGAGUCCAAACUCAAGGUGUGGGUGCUCCUCGGAGGGGCUGGGGGACACUGCCACCUGUCCUGGCCCCUCCCCAUAGUCUCUGCCUGUCUCCCCAGAGCCCCUCCUGAGUCACUUCCUCUACUGUUUCUUUUAAGGACACUUGUUACUGUCAAAUCAUAGCCUGUGCCUCGCACCCGGGCUGAAAGCGGGUCCCCUAGGCCCACCUGCCUGCUGUCCUGCCAGAAUGUCAUGUGGUUUGGGGAGAGUGGGGGUCAUGACACGGCCUCUCCGGUCUGCCUGCCCCACCCUACCCCACCCCUCCUUCCCUGCCUCAGAGGCACUUGCCCUGCUCCCCGUGUCUCCCAGGUCCUACCCCAGCUAGAGUCCCUCCAGCACGGUGCCCCCAGGGCCACCCCAGCCUUCCCAGGGGGGGAUCGGGGCAGGUGGUUCUGCAGGUGACUCGGAACCAGGAUGGACUCCUCGUUCUGGGCCCGUGCUCAGCAUUCUCAGCCCCCCUUGUUCUGAGUCCCCCACCUGGCCUUCCUCCCCCCCGGGGCCAGGGUCAGCAUCUGGAGGCCCUCGGGGACCUGGCACAGAAGGGGCAGGGGCCUUGGUGGGUGAAGAAGUGGGGAACACGUGGAUGAACUGAUGAAUGAGCGAGUGAAUGGAGGAGGAGAGGGAGGCCAGCUGGGCGGGGCCCUGACAGUGUCGCAUCUCCCGCUCCCUGCAGAUGUGCUGGUGGACGGACAGCCCUGUGACCACGAGGCGGCGGCCUGCCGGGUGGGCGACCCCGUGCGCCUGGAGGUGCGGCUGACCAACCGGAGCCCACGCAGCGUGGGGCCCUUCGCCCUCAGCGUGGUGCCCUUCCAGGACCACCAGAACGGCGUGCACAACUACGACCUGCACCACGCCGUCUCCUUCGUGGGCUCCGGCACCUUCUAUCUGGACAAGGUGCCACCGUCGGGCCAGGCAGCCUGCCUUGGGGCCCUGCUCUUCCUCUACACGGGCGACUUCUUCCUCCACGUCCGCUUCCAUGAGGACAGCUCCAGCAAGGAGCUGCCGCCCUCCUGGUUCUGCCUGCCCAGCGUGCACGUGCGCGCCCUGGAGGCGCAGGCCUAGCCGCUCCGGCCUGUCCCAGGGCCCUGUUCCAGGUCUCCGCUCCCAUGGGGAGAGGACUAGAGGGCCACAGGGACCUGGCCUGGCCCCCACCCCUGGACAGGGGACAAGACCUUUGCUGCACCUCCCAUUCCCUCCAGCCCUCAGCCCCUACCCCUCGCUUCCCCGCCUACCUGCAGCAUCUGCUCUGGGCUCUACAAGGGGGGGCCCCCAGACACAGCAGCCUCCCUGCUUCCCAUACUGUCCAGGCUCCCCCUGUUACAGCCUAGCAUGAAGGCAGAUGCUGACCGAACCCAAAAGUGAGGCCCCGCCUAGCCAGGCCCUGGGUCACUGCACCUGUUCCUGUGAUCUGGGGUUCACAGGCCAGCCUUAGGAAAGUGGGCAUCAGGAGGGGAGCAGGGGAAGGGGGGACCCCAGUCCCUUGGCCCUGGGAAUCCCCGAGGGCUGGCUCUUCCCCCAGAGCCCCAGGGAGCCCAGCCAGGAGAGACCAGCUGGGACCACCUGCCCCCGGUGGGUAGAUGGUCACCUGUUCUGUGCCCUGGGCUGGUUCCGGCUGGGCUCGGGGGUCCAUGGCCUGCGUGUGUCUGUGUCAGUGACAGAUUCUCCAAUAAAGAGCCUGCCUUGCUUCCCUGGUGGUCCAGCUGCAUCCAUGCACCUGCUUGUCCCGUGUGAUCAGGAGGCCGCCCCCCAGCUCAUCAGACCCCAGCUCAGGUGGGAUUUCCUGCAGCAACCCACCCGUUUGGUGGCGGUAGGGUGGGCCUGGGUCUGUCGGUCUCUGUGGCCCCCCAACCCCCUUCCCUUGCCUGUGCUUUUCGGGACUGGUUCCCAACCUUCUCGGGUCACUGUCUUGGGUCCCACACCGUGUUUCUUGGUUCCCACAUUGGCUCUGGCGAUCUCAGCCUCUCACUUUCUCUCCUGAGGUCUGCACACACUUGGAAAUAUGUUUGGGGGUUACACAGAUGUCCAGAAGUUGGGGUGCAGAUUGAGGCUGUGCGUCCCCCAGCAGCCCUCAGCUGCGCCCCCCACACAUGGUGAGGGCUGCUUUUCCCCACGCCAUCCUCACUCCCUCUGGGUCAUCCAGUCCCCCAACCCACUGUCUCCCAGCAGCCACCCACCUGCAGCCCUCGCUUCCAGCCCGGCAGGUUCAGAGUCCAUUCUCUGCCCGGCACCCCACCCUUACUGAGCAGGCUUCCUGAGCAGAGUUCUGGGGCCAGAGACAAGGCGAGGGUCCCAAGGCACAGAGCAGGGGUCGUGGGGGAGCCAGAGGGAUCCGGGACCCUUGGGUCACGCCGUUUCCACGAGGCCACCCAGGCAGCAGGCUUGGUUGGGACCAACCCACACACAGCAGCAGGAGGAUGAGCAGCUGGCAGGCUGUCGUGGGUCCGAGGUUCCUGGCCCGUGGGAACCCCCAGCUUCAGAGACAGGUGCCCUUUCACGGAGACUGGUACACCUGGUUUAGAAAACAUCCCAGCAAAACUCUGGGUUUAGGGCAGCGAAGAACCCAGGCUACCUGAUGCGGGGCUGCAAGUGUCCUCUGGGUCAGUGCUCCCCGGUGCCGGGCGUGGCCAGGACUUGGCACUGCCUGCCUCACAGGGGCAAGGGCCUGAGUCUCCAAGUGCCCGGAGCACAGAGCCGGAGGCACCGAGCAGGAUCCAAGUCCCCGAUUCUCUGGCAGAGCCACCCCAGGUGACGUACUGGAAGGGGCUGCCUUCCACCUGUCACCUCUCCAUGACGUUCUCGGUCCCCCCCGGGUCAGGCUGCCUCCCGUGGCUUUGCAGGCUGUGUGCCACCUGCCAGGUGCCCACCAGGAGGGCAACUGAGGGCAGGAGUCCUGCCUUGCCUUCGAGGGGCUCUGCCACCUGGGGUGGGGGGUGGGCACCUCAUUCAAAUGGCACAAAGCUGCCACGUGGCCCAUGCUGGCCCAUCCCCUCCACUCCAUUAGCAUCUGUCCUCAAGGGCCUUGCCUCUCACAGAGGCCUGCCCUUAGCCGGCCAGCCCUCCGCCCAGGCACACCCCGGCUCCUCGCAGCCCAGGGAGGGUCCUCGUUUGACUGCCUCAAAGCAAACCCUGACUCUGAGCACAAGCUCGUCUGGGAGGUGGGGGGAACCCCUCGGGGGAACGAGGGACCAGGGUGGGGGAGAGGAGCCAGUGAGGAGCUGAAAUUCUCCGGGAGAUUGGGGGGAGUGAGAAACAUGGUCUCAGGGUCCCCUGGCCCACAGGGCUUCAUUCCCGCAGGCCAGCCCGCCGUGGACGUGAGUGGAUCAGAUACCAGCCUUGGGAGCCGGGGCCAUUGGACAUUCCAAGAAGUCUUGGGGACAGGGAGUGAGAUGUGGGGCCUUGCCCAUGGCCGUUUUCUGAGACUGGCUGAGUGUGACAUAAUAGACAUGUGAUCUCAGACCUCAGUUCUUUUGGGGUGUGUAUGUGUGCAUUUUAGGGCUGCAGUUUCCCAGGCUAGGGGUCGAAUCUGAGCUGCAACUGCCAACCUACACCACAGCCACAGCAACACAGGAUCUGAGCCAUGUCUGCGACCUCCACCACAGCUCUCAGCAACACCAGAUCCUUAACCCACUGAGCGAGGCCAGGGAUCAAACCUUUGUCCUCAUGGAUACUAGCUGGGUUCAUUACCACUGAGCCACGACGGGAACACUUCAGCCCUCAGUUCUUGACACAGCAUUUUCAUCCCUUGGAAUUUCCUGGGUGACAGGAGCGUCGUUUGUUCUAAGGAGGCGGUUCUGGGUGGGCUCCUGGAUGGCUUCAGGGUGGGGGUGUCACAGGAAGACCCAGCAUGACUAGAAGCUUGGACCUUUCUGUCCCAGCACAUCCUCCAGGCAGGGAGGGAGGUGGAGAUUGAGUUAGUCAAUCGUGCCCACAAGACAAAGCACCUAUGGAGUUCCCCACAGGGCAGGGCUUACAGACCUUCCAGGCCGGCGAACACAGCCCCGAGCUGAAGGUGGUUCCCCGCAACUCCAUGGGGACAGAAGCUCCCGCGCCCAGGACCCGCCUUCCAGACCUCACCUGGGUACCUCCUCACCUGGCCGGUCAUCUGCCUCCUUCGUGACGUAAGUAAACUGACAAACGUAAGUAAAGCGUCCUCCUGAGUUCUGUAAGCUACUAUAGCAAAUUCCUAACCCAGGAGGGGUCGUGGGAACCCUACAUGCUUUUUAAUUUUCUGAAACAAGUACAGCAGUUAUCAGACAAUUUACCAGGGGCACCAAGAGAGUCGUCUUCCUCCUCUGGGAGGAAGGUGUUGGAACUCACCCAGGCACCCUGAAAGAUGACCCAGCUGAGCCCUGUGUCCUGCACGCCUCCCCCCCCCCCCCCCCCCCCCCCCCCCGGUCCUCGAGUGGAGGAGAUGAACUGAGUCCGGCCCAAGGAGAGCCCUGCAUGGGCUGUAAGCAGUCAGAGCUUUGCCAUGGGGUCAGCAGGAAUCAGGGAACCGUUUAGAGCAUGGCUGCUGUUGGCGUUUGUGUGGCUGGAGUGAUCCAGUGCAGAGCUGUUAGUAGGCGGUGGCCAAGGCAGAGAAGCCGGGCACAGGUGUCUCGGUGAGCAUUCCGCAUCCUAGUUCUUCAGGUCUCCUUGCGGUCAGCUCCUGGGCACCACUGCUCACAGCUGCUGUAUCUGUAAGCUUCCUCCCUCUCCAGGGCCAGAGGAGGCUCAGCCAAGAAUAGACCGUGUCCUUCUCACUUCACCAGCUAAACUGGCUGGGCUUUGCCCUCCUGACAUUCAUUCCCUUUGGGCAGAACAGGCCUGCAAUGACCCCAUAGUCACCUAGCCAUCAUGCUCUGUCAUUCAGAAUUCGCCAAGCAGAGCCCAGAUCCGUGGGAAGACGUCUGAGGAGCUGAACCCCAGCUCAGCCACUUGUCAACUCUGUGACCUCAGACAGGUCGCUGACAUGGAGACUCACAUUUUUUUUCAUCUGAAUAAAUGGAGAUAAAAAUACUUAGUUCAUGGCCCUUCUGCAUUAGGAAUUUGAUUUGAUCUCAACACUCCUACCUGUGAGAGCAACCCCUUGGUAAAGGCUGGUUCCCGCCUCGUAACCUUCCCAUUCCCCGUGUCCUCCACAUCUCCGGCCUGGCAUCACCAAUCCUCUGGGAAGCUUAAGUGACAUCUCUGUUUCCCAUUACACCCCUGCACAGGUCAGUUUAUUAGGGAGCAUGAAAUAAUAUAGGCAGAUAUUUGUUACCCAAAUGCUCAAAUGGGAAAGGGAUUGCCUGACCAAGGAGGAUUGCCUACUCUGUGACUCUGUAGUCAAGCAAAAGCCAGCCCAGAAGCCACUGUCAUUAGAUGUCUUCAGAGCCAGCCUGGGACCAGAGGAGAGAGUUGACUGCAUGUGGUCACCUGGCUCCUGGAGCCUCUGAACAACAUCGUAAGGGAUUAAGGCAAAUAACAAGUAAAGAUCAAAAGAGGGCAUCAGCCUGAUGGGGUAGGGGCCCAGACUAAGUCUCCUACUGAAAACAACGAAAAACGAUGGUAAUUAUAUAAAAACCCUUUUGUGAGUACAUCCACAAACUGGCAGGAAAGUGGGAAAUACUCAGCCCAGUACCUGUGUGUAGGCAGAAGCCAGAAAGGUGAACAGCGAGCUGAUGUCACUUUCAUUUUGAGGGUUUUUGCCAAAGAAGGAGCGUCACCUUGUGUAGUCUCACAGAACAGGAAAGGAGGAAGACAAAUCCAGGGCCCAACGGGGGAAGAAUCUAAUAGAAGACUGCCCCCAUGAAUUUGGGAGCCCUACCCUACUCAGAGUGGGAGUAGAACUGCCCUGUUUCAACACUUUGACCCCAACCCCAACCGGCCGUCCUAGGGAUCUGCAGUCCCAGGGCCACUCCCUGAAGACUCACCCAAACUUCAAGUCAUUCAUUAACUUGAAAAGGAUCCUGGAUAUAUAGCAGCCCCACUGAAGCACACCAGACAUACCAGAAGUAAACUGGAGGAAGCUACUCUUGUCCCAAAUCUCCAAGGAAAAUGGAUAAUUCAGAGUUUCAAAAGAAGGUCAUUAAAUACACAAGAAAAUAAUAUAUCGUACUGUAAGAGCCAGAAGUAACAAAAUCAGCAAACUCAGGCUUGAAAGGAAUCGGGUAUUGACUUUAUCAGACAUGGACUACAAAAUAAAUAUGCUUUAUAGGUUCUGAGAAAUGAAAAAGAUUAAAAUGGGUAAAGAUUGGGAACAUCAUAAAAUAGUUAAAUGGAACUCCUACGGCUGAAAAAUAGAGCCAAGGAUUUCCUGUUGUGACUCAGUGGUAAUGAAUCAGACUAAUGUCCAUGAGGACAUGGGUUUGAUUCCUGGCCUUGCUUAGUGGGUUAAGGAUCCUGUGUUGCCAUGAGCUGUGGUUUAGGUCUCAGAUGCUGCUGGGAUCUGGCAUUGCUGCAGCUGUGGUAUAGGCCGGCAGCUACAACUCCAAUUCGACCCCUAGCCUGAGAACUUCCACAUGCCAUGGGUGUGGCUCCAAAAAGCGAAAAA
rnacentral:lncRNA from 1 species